GGAUGAUGUUUCCUUGGAUUCAGUUUGGAUACAUAAUUAUGCUUGUCAAAGCAAGAAGACUGGAAGCUUAAGAAUACACAAAAAGACUUAUUCAAGUACACCAGCUGUUUUCCAAUGUACAAGAGAUGAGAAGACCUCAAGAU